AUUCUUAAAACAAGACAGACAUGACCUUAAACAAGACGGGAUUAAAGCAAGUCGAACUUGCUUUUUAAACAAGACAAACAUAUUUUUAAAACAAGACAACCGAAACAAGACAACGUGUUUUUGAAACAAGACAAAUGUGUUGCUAAACAAGAUAAACUUAUCUCCAUGGGUUAAUUUUGAAUGAAAUUGUCCUAUAAACGAUAUAUUUUGGAAACUAUUUAUUUUAAAGAUAUAUGUUUCGCAACGGUGUUCAAUUUAAAUGGCAAAUUUGUGGAAAGUUGCUUAUAUGCACAUACAACCUUAUAGUUAUCCCAAAGCGAAAUUUUCCUCGUGUUGCAAAAUUGCAGUCCGAUUUAAUUGCAUUCGUUCCAUCUAACAAUUGCGCAAAAAAACAUUGUCUAUCCUCAAAUCCCACACCUUGUCGACAAGAUGUGUUCGCACUGCUUGUUCCCAGUUGUUGGCAAGUCUGGAACAAGUUAAUGUAAUCAUCUUGUAACAAGGUUGAUGAGGCCAACAGACUCACAACAAGUUGUUCCAAAAAGUCUGCACGUAACAAGUGAACUAUAACAUGUAGCCGGGGCUGGAAGAAUUAGAGUAUAUUUAGCUGUUCAAUCAUUAUUUGAAGAUGCAAAAAAGUUGCUCGAAGAACAAGUAGUUUCUGCACGGUUGACAAAUUAGAAGAUAUAUUCCCUUAAAGGGAUAUGGUAAUAAAAAUUAACUUUGUCUUAUAUGAAAGAACUUUUAAAGUUAUAUAUGAAGACCCUUUACAACUUUUUCGUACCUUGUUUGGUUUUUGAAAUAUUUUGACCAAAAACAGUGUGCAGUCCGCCAUCUUGGUAUUAUAAUUGACCUAGUUAACUGAGUUUUUGAUGACGUCACAAGCAGGGUAAACUUGUUAAAACGUCUUCAUGUGGGACUAAAUUCCUUCGAAAAGUUUCUUAAAAUGUUGUGAGUUAAUUGAGUAUUAAAAAGAUUUCGGAAAAUCGAGUUUCAUAAUGAUAAUGACAUGUGGUUUGCAAGAUAAAAAUUUCGCUUUUUACCCUACUUGUGACGUAUGCAUAUCCAAGAUGGCGGAAUGCACGCUGCUUUUGAUCAAAAUAAGUCGUUCCACUUGGCUAUGCUAAGAUGAAGAGAUUUUAGAUGGUAGGCCAAAGAGAAAAUAAUGUCUGAAGUUCAGUAAG
rnacentral:lncRNA from 1 species